GACGAACGCUGGCGGCGUGCUUAACACAUGCAAGUCGAACGGAAAGGCCCUGCUUUUGUGGGGUGCUCGAGUGGCGAACGGGUGAGUAACACGUGAGUAACCUGCCCUUGACUUUGGGAUAACUUCAGGAAACUGGGGCUAAUACCGGAUAGGAGCUCCUGCUGCAUGGUGGGGGUUGGAAAGUUUCGGCGGUUGGGGAUGGACUCGCGGCUUAUCAGCUUGUUGGUGGGGUAGUGGCUUACCAAGGCUUUGACGGGUAGCCGGCCUGAGAGGGUGACCGGCCACAUUGGGACUGAGAUACGGCCCAGACUCCUACGGGAGGCAGCAGUGGGGAAUAUUGCAAAAUGGGCGGAAGCCUGAUGCAGAAACGCCGCGUGCGGGAUGACGGCCUUCGGGUUGUAAACCGCUUUCGCCUGUGACGAAGCGUGAGUGACGGUAAUGGGUAAAGAAGCACCGGCUAACUACGUG
rnacentral:rRNA from 1 species